rnacentral:ncRNA from 1 species
CCGAUGAAGGACGUGGGAGGCCACGAUAGUCCCCGGGGAGUCGUCAACCAGGCUUUGAUCCGGGGGUUUCCGAAUGGGGAAACCCGGCAGUCGUCAUGGGCUGUCACCCGCUGCUGAACACAUAGGCAGUGUGGAGGGAACGAGGGGAAGUGAAACAUCUCAGUACCCUCAGGAAGAGAAAACAACCGUGAUUCCGGGAGUAGUGGCGAGCGAAACCGGAUGAGGCCAAACCGUAUGUGUGUGAUACCCGGCAGGGGUUGCGCAUGCGGGGUUGUGGGAUCUCUCUUUCACAGUCUGCCGGCUGUGAGACAAGUAAGAAACCAUGGUUAUAGGCGAAGGGCAUGCGAAAGGCCCGGCGUAGAGGGUAAGACCCCCGUAGCUGAAAUGAUCAUGGCUUGUUUGAGAGACACCCAAGCCGCCGGAGGCCGCUGU